rnacentral:rRNA from 1 species
CCUUGUGCCAGCAGCCGCGGUAAUUCCAGCUCCAAUAGCGUAUAUUAAAAUUGUUGCGGUUAAAACGCUCGUAGUUGGAUAUUUGUUGAGAACUGCCGGUCUACCCCAGUGGUCAGCACACGGUUUGUUCUCGGCACUUUCCUGGGGAGAGUGUUUGCACUUCACUGUGUGGCACAUGAUCCAGAACUUUUACUUUGGGGAAAUGAGAGUGUUUCAAGCAGGCGCCUGUCGUGAAUACGUUAGCAUGGAAUAAUAGCAUGGGACCGCGGUCUGAAGCUGUUGGUUUUUGGGCCGUGGUAAUGAAAAUAGGGAUAGUUGGGGGUAUUCGUAUUUAACUGUCAGAGGUGAAAUUCUUGGAUUUUUUAAAGACGGACUACUGCGAAAGCAUCUGCCCAGGAUGUUUUUAUUGAUCAAGAACGAAAGUUAGGGGAUCGAAGACGAUCAGAUACCGUCCUAGUCUUAACCUUAAACCAUGCCGACUAGAGAUUUGGGUCGUCAGAAUCGUGACGCCCUGAGCACCUUAGGGGAAACCAAAGUCUUCGGGUUCCGGGGGGAGUAUGGUCGCAAGGCUGAAACUUAAAGGAAUUGACGGAAGGGCACCACCAGGAGUGGAGCCUGCGGCUUAAUUUGACUCAACACGGGGAAACUUACCAGGUCCGGACAUAGAGAGGAUUGACAGACUGAUAGCUCUUUCUUGAUUCUAUGGGUGGUGGUGCAUGGGCCGUUCUUAGUUGGUGGAGUGAUUUGUCUGGUUAAUUCCGUUAACGAACGAGACCUUAACCUGCUAAAUAGUUUCCAGAACCAUAUAGUUUCAGGAUGAUUUCUUAGAGGGACUUUGUGUGCGUAACGUGAGGAAGUGUGAGGCAAUAACAGGUCUGUGAUGCCCA